rnacentral:rRNA from 1 species
UACGUAGGGUGCGAGCGUUGUCCGGAAUUAUUGGGCGUAAAGCGCUCGUAGGCGGUUUGUCGCGUCGGCCGUGAAAACUUGGGGCUUAACCCCAAGCCUGCGGUCGAUACGGGCAGACUUGAGUUCGGCAGGGGAGACUGGAAUUCCUGGUGUAGCGGUGAAAUGCGCAGAUAUCAGGAGGAACACCGGUGGCGAAGGCAGGUCUCUGGGCCGAUACUGACGCUGAGGAGCGAAAGCGUGGGGAGCGAACAGG